AAAAAAGAGUCCGCCACCAUCUUGCUUUCCUAUAAUCCGGCAGUGACCGUGGGUCAGAACAGUCUUGAAUCAUGAAGCUACUAACCAGAGCUGGGUCCUUCUCGAGAUUUUAUUCUCUCAAAGUUGCCCCCAAAGUUAAAGCCACAGCUGCGUCUGCAGGAGCACCACCACAACCUCAGGACCUUGAGUUUACCAAGUUACCAAAUGGUUUGGUGAUUGCUUCUUUGGAAAACUACGCUCCUGUAUCAAGAAUUGGUUUGUUCAUUAAAGCAGGCUGUAGAUGUGAGGACUCCAACAAUUUAGGAACCACUCAUUUGCUGCGUCUUGCAUCUGGUCUGAUGACUAAGGGAGCUUCAUCUUUCAAGAUAACCCGUGGAAUUGAAGCAACUGGUGGCUUAUUAAGUGUGACUGCAACAAGGGAAAACAUGGCUUACACUGUGGAAUGCCUGCAGGGUGAUGUUGAUAUUCUAAUGGAGUUCCUGCUCAAUGUCACCACAUCACCAGAAUUUCGUCACUGGGAAGUAGGUGACAUUCAGCCUCAGCUAAAGAUUGACAAGGCUGUGGCCUUUCAGAAUCCACAGACUCAUGUCAUUGAAAAUUUGCACGCAGCAGCUUACCGGAACGCCUUGGCUAAUCCCUUGUAUUGUCCUGACUAUAGGAUUGGAAAAGUGACACCAGAGGAGUUACAUUGCUUCGUUCAGAACCAUUUCACAAGUGCAAGAAUGGCUUUGAUUGGACUUGGUGUGAGUCAUCCUGUUCUAAAGCAAGUUGCUGAACAGUUUCUCAACAUGAGAGGUGGACUUGGUUUAUCUGGUGCAAAGGCCAAAUACUGUGGAGGUGAAAUCCGAGAACAAAAUGGAGACAGUCUUGUCCAUGCCGCUCUUGUAGCAGAAAGUGCUGCCGCAGGAAGUGCAGAGGCAAAUGCAUUUAAUGUUCUUCAGCAUGUCCUCAGUGCGGGGCCACAUAUCAAGAGGGGCAGCAACACCACCAGCCAUCUGCACCAGGCUGUUGCGAAGGCAACUCACCAGCCAUUCGAUGUUUCUGCAUUUAAUGCCAGUUACUCAGAUUCUGGACUCUUUGGGAUUUAUACUAUCUCCCAGGCCGCAGCUGCAGGAGAUGUUAUCAACGCUGCCUAUAAUCAAGUAAAAACAAUCGCUCAAGGAAACCUGUCCAACACAGAUGUCCAAACUGCCACGAACAAGCUGAAAGCUGGAUACCUGAUGUCAGUGGAGUCUUCUGAGGGUCUCCUGGAAGAAGGCGGGUCCCAGGCCCUAAUUGCUGGUUGUUACAUGCCACUAUUCACAGUCCUUCAGCAGAUUGAUUCAGUGGCUAACGCUGAUAUCAUAAAUGCCGCAAAGAAGUUUGUUUCUGGCAAAAAAUCGAUGGCAGCAAGUGGAAAUUUGGGACAUACACCUUUUGCUGAUGAGUUGUAAUACUGAAACACACAUUACAGGAGAGAGCUGAACAUUCUCAGCCCAGAGAAGCAAAUACAUGAAAGUCAGAAGUCUCUAAUAUAACAUUUGUCUUUUUUCCAGUGAAGUAAAAUAAGGCAUAAAUUCAGGUAAUUAUUGCCAGCUGACCUAAAGUCAAUAAAACAUUCUACUUAAGUGUUAAAAAAAAAAAAA